UUUAAGCAUAUCACUCAGUGGAGGAAGAGCAAGCAACUGCGAUUGCUUCAGUAACGGCGAGUGAACUGGCAAUGUAUCUCGACCCGAAGUGAUUCCCGCAGACGCGUUUUGGGCGCGCGAACGGCUUUCGUGGGUUUCAGCAAAUGCUGUGGGCUGUGGAGCAGGUGGCAGCUACCUUGGUUGGCAAUUACGCCAGGAAGCGACCUGGAAUGGUCCACGAGAGAAGGAUACUGUCCUGUACACCACGUGUGCGACUGGUCAUCUGAGGUGCUGCUGCUUGCAUCCAGGAGUAGAGUGGCUUGGGACUGCAGUUUGAAGUGCGAGGUGUAUCCAUCGCAAGGAAGCAUACUGGCUCGAGACCGAUAGCGCACAAGUAGAGUGAUUGAAGGAUGCAAAGGACUUUGCAAAGAGGGUUAAAAGUCCCUGAAGCCGCGGCGGGAACGGCGGUGAGUGGUGCUGUGGCUUUGCGAUUCCAGAUGGUUUGGCUCAGCUGUUGAUGUGGGGGACAGAUCCCUGGCCACACGAUGGUCCAGGCCCCCAACAAUGGUUUGGGUGGAUCAUGCUGAUCGCUGCUGUGAGCUUGUCCGACACCAAAGCAUGGACCAGGGCAUGAUUUGACACAGCCCUGGGAUGGUGCCUCGGCCUGGCCACAGGAUGCAGAUGGAUUCCAAGCGACCUUGGGCCAGCCCACUGCUGGCUACUGAGCCUAGCUCUCCAGAGUUGGAUGCAAUCGUGGCAGUAAUGUGGUGGCAAUCAGCCUGACUGGGCCUGAGGCUUGAGCGAUCCCAAAGGGCGAAGCAAGAUUUGUUCAGACCUGUGGUACAAGGAUGUCUCAGAAUCAGCAGAGAGCCAAAGUCCCCAGUAGGGGCGAUGUUUGUGGAUGUAUUCCUGUCCUGUUUUGACGCUUGUCUACGAUGAUCACACAGCUUGUUCCUGGUGUGUCUUCGGACAUGCCAGUGCCCACGCCCGCCAUGGUGGGGUCGGUGGUCUGGUUGUGGUUGCACCACUCUGAUGGUGACCCAGCUGGGCUAUUGGCCCUCCAGUCGGUGUGUGGUGCUGAAUGCAGUGGAGCUUGGCACAGCAGUGCCAUUCCCUGCCCGUCUYGAAACACGGACCAAGGAGUCUACGGAGCUUGCAGGUUAGCAGGUCAAAACCGCAGUGCAUGGUGAAGGCAACAAACCCAGAAGGUGCUUGGAUUCCAGGGCUCAAACAAGGGCCUGUGUCGAUUACUUGUGAUGGAUUUUUGUGGAAAGUAGCUCUCGCUCUGAGUGAACGGUUGACAUGUGGGAACGGACCCCCACAAGGGAAGCCUCGAUCUGUGUCGCCAGGAGGCAAAGGAACUGUGGAAGCUUUGAAGUGUGCAGGAAGGCGCCAGGCCCGCCCAAGGCCAAGGAGAGAUUGCAGCAUGGGACACCGAUCCCAAAUCCAGUGGACAGGGUUUUGAGUGAAUGCAAGGUCCGUGGGACCCGAAAGGUGGUGAACUAUACCGUUCUAUGACGAAGCCGUGGGAAACUGCGGUGGAGGUCAGUCGCUGUUCUGACGUGCAAAUUGUGUAGCCUGAGUGUGGCAUAGGGGUGAAAGGCCAAUCGAGCCACCUAGUAGCUGGUUUCCCUCGAAGUUUCCCUCAGGGAUAGCAA
rnacentral:rRNA from 1 species